CCAAAUCUAGUAUAUAAAAUCACCAAAAUAAGAGAGCAGCCGCAACAACUAGAGAAAAAAAGAAAAAAAUAGUAGCUAAAAGAGGAAAAAGAGAUCCCCAAGUUCAAUUGGUCUCAAAAUCAGAUGUAAGUAUUCACUCACUUCUUUGCAUGUCUGAUAGUAAUUUUACUUGAGGUAUUAUGAAUUAUCAAGUGAGCUAGUUAUUUGAUUUUGUUGGUUAUGGGUUUCUCAUUUAAUCACCAAGUUGUGAUUUUUUAAAUUUUAUAAUCAAUGUAAAAUGUUUCCAUUUACAUCACCAUGUGUUGACCUUUCAUUUCAUUUAUUCUUUUAUUUUUUCUUUACGAGAUCUAAUCAAUAGCAUACAAAAAAUUAGAGAUUUAUUCAAGAUUCAUUGCAAAAAUGAAAGAAGAGAGUGAUAAAGGACACAAAUAAUUGCUUUGAUUUAGUAUUGCAAUCUCUGAGAUUUUAAGCUCUAAGCAAGAGAGCGCGUAAUUUAUCAUCUUAACCGAUGAUUUUGUGAUUCAACAAUAUUCUUUGGCUCAUUCUAACUAGUAUCAAACUAUUCUUUUUGUCAUGUUAGAAAAAAGCUUAAAUUGUUGAACUCUUUAUUAUAAAUUUUGUUUCAAAUUCCUUAUAUUAGUGUUUUUGCUUUUAUUUUUUUUUUAGAAAAAAAAUCUCUUUUUAUGUUCAGGUUUGAGAAGAAAAAAAGAGUGAACAAUUAGUGCAGACAAUGUUCAAGAAAACAAAAACAAGAGUUGAUAGCUAAGAUCGAUCUCGGUGAGGAUACACAUAUACAGUCUUCAUAUCGAAGAAAAAAAUUCAAUUACCACUAUCAUCAUCACGUUUGUCUUGAGCUAUUCUUUUAUAAGUAAAUAAAUUUUAAGUACAAGUACAUUUGUCCUAGAUUAUUUUUAUCUUCAUGUUAUGAACUUCUCACAAUCCUACAUUAUUGCUACUCAAAAAACACUUUAAUUUUCUCUUCAUCUGUUAUUCGUAGUAUCGAUAAAAAUGUUGCUUAAACUUUUUGCCCUAUCUUAAAAUAUUCUACUAUAAGAAAAAUAGUCAUUGACUAUUUUUCUCAAAUUAUUAUUUAAUUAUCUUUAUAAUAUUGAAUCUUAAAAUAUAUGGGAAGAAUGAUGACUCCUAAAAUAUAUGAUAAAAAGAAAUAUAAACUAACAUAUAAAAAUGUAAGGACCCCUAAAAUAAUGGUAAGAGAAAAAUAU
rnacentral:lncRNA from 1 species